AUAAAUAAAAAACGAUACAAAGGUAUUUUACAUCGGUGUAACUAGAUAGAUAGUUCGAAAGCAUAGAUAAAAUUGCGGUGCAACUAGAUAGAAACUACUCCUAGUCGCUACCAUCAUCACCAUCAUCAUCCUCGUCGGUGUCAUCCGAGGUUGAGAGCCAUAUGUCCAACCAACGAUCAUCGUUUUCCGUGAAGAACGAC
rnacentral:lncRNA from 1 species